AUACGUAGGUGGCAAGCGUUGUCCGGAAUUAUUGGGCGUAAAGCGCGCGCAGGUGGUUCCUUAAGUCUGAUGUGAAAGCCCCCGGCUCAACCGGGGAGGGUCAUUGGAAACUGGGGAACUUGAGUGCAGAAGAGGAUAGUGGAAUUCCAAGUGUAGCGGUGAAAUGCGUAGAGAUUUGGAGGAACACCAGUGGCGAAGGCGACUGUCUGGUCUGUAACGGACACUGAGGCGCGAAGGCGUGGGGAGCAAACAGGAUUAGAUACCCUGGUAGUCCACGCCGUAAACGAUGAGUGCUAAGUGUUGGGGGGUUUCCGCCCCUCAGUGCUGCAGCUAACGCAUUAAGCACUCCGCCUGGGGAGUACGGCCGCAAGGUUAAAACUCAAAUGAAUUGGCGGGG
rnacentral:rRNA from 1 species